GCAUGGAGGAUCUGUCUAAUCUCAGAGGGCAUUUUUGAGCAUUUCCUCUGAUGAAGACAGCCCUGCUUGC
ensembl:miRNA